GGCUAGAAUUGAUGGCACAUAGAAAAAGGGGCAUAUUGAGAAGGUCAACAAAUCACAGAAUCACAGAAUUUCUAGGUUGGAAGAGACCUCAAUAUCAUCAAGUCCAACCUCUGAUCUAACACUAACAAGUCCUCCACUAAACCAUAUCACUAAGUUCAACAUCUAAACAUAUUUAAAAGACCUCCAGGGAUGGUGACUCAACCACUUCCCUGGGCAGCCCAUUCCAAUGCCUAACAAAACUCUCAGUAAAGAAGUUCUUCCUAAUAUCCAACCUGAAACUCCCCUGGCGCAACUUUAGCCCAUUCCCCCUCAUCCUGUCACCAGGCACAUGGGAGAAUAGACCAACCCCACCUUGCUACAGUCUCCUUUAAUGUACCUGUAGAGAGUGAUAAGGUCUCCCCUGAGCCUCCUUUUCUCCAGGCUGAACAACCCUAGCUCCCUCAGCUGCUCCUUGUAAGAGUUGUUCUCCAGACCCAUCACCAGGUUGGUCGCCCUUCUCUGGACCUGCUCAAGCACCUCGAUGUCCUUCUUGUAGCAAGGGGCCCAAAACUGAACACAGUACUCGAGGUGCGGCCUCACCAGAGCUGAGUACAGGGGGACAAUCACUUCCCUAGCCCUGCUGGCCACACUGCUUCUUAUGCAAGCCAGGAUGCUGUUGGCCUUCUUGGCCACCUGAGCACACUGCUGGCUCAUAUUCAGCCAACUCUCAGUCAAUACUCCCAGGUCCUUCUCCACCAGGCAGCUUUCCAACCACUCAUCUCUCAGCCUGUAAUGGUAUAAAGAUUCAGUAAAUUUGACACGUAGGAACAGCUCAAACAGAUCAUAUGUUUACCUCAUUUGCAGUUACUUAUCUACUAGAUUGAUUCAGACCAAAAAGCCCCUAAAACCAUACAUGAGAAGAGGACUUCCAAAGUUGAUGGACAAAUUUUAGAAACAUGUGUAACUUUGAACAGGCAAUUAAUAUAUGUGAUAUUUCAGUACUAAACUGGACAUCAGAGAGUUGGCAUAGCCCCCAUCACAGAAAUUUCGAGGCAGUAGUAUUGCCCAACAGGUGUAACUACACAGAGUUUCAGCCAACAAGGAUAUGAUAAGGUAAUUUUUAGUUUUCCAAGCUCAUACAUGAUGAUUACUUUAUGCUUUUCUUUUUACUGUAUUAAAUAUUGCCUCCUUCUCCCCCCCCCCCCCUUUUUUUUUUUUUAAAGAUAGGUAAAUUCACAUGUUUAUGAAGAACUUGGUUAAACAUUUU
rnacentral:lncRNA from 1 species